GAUGAAGAAGCAGCGAAAUGCGAUAAGUAAUGUGAAUUGCAGAAUUCAGUGAAUCAUCGAAUCUUUGAACGCACAUUGCGCCCGCCAGUAUUCUGGCGGGCAUGCCUGUUCGAGCGUCAUUUCAACCAUCAAGCCCCCGGCUUGUGUUGGGGACCUGCGGCUGCCGCAGGCCCUUAAAAGCAGUGGCGGGCUCGCUGUCACACCGAGCGUAGUAGCAUACAUCUCGCUCUGGGCGUGCUGCGGGUUCCGGCCGUUAAACCACCUUCAUAACCCAAGGUUGACCUCGGAUCAGGUAGGAAGACCCGCUGAACUUAAGCAUAUCAAUAAGCGGAGGA
rnacentral:misc_RNA from 1 species